rnacentral:rRNA from 1 species
CCUACGGGAGGCAGCAGUCGAGAAUCAUUCACAAUGGGGGAAACCCUGAUGGUGCGACGCCGCGUGGGGGAAUGAAGGUCUUCGGAUUGUAAACCCCUGUCAUGUGGGAGCAAAUUAAAAAGAUAGUACCACAAGAGGAAGAGACGGCUAACUCUGUGCCAGCAGCCGCGGGAAUACAGAGGUCUCAAGCGUUGUUCGGAAUCACGGGGCGUAAAGCGUGCGUAGGCUGUUUCGUAAGUCGUGUGUGAAAGGCGCGGGCUCAACCCGCGGACGGCACAUGAUACUGCGAGACUAGAGUAAUGGAGGGGGAACCGGAAUGCUCGGUGUAGCAGUGAAAUGCGUAGAUAUCGAGAGGAACACUCGUGGCGAAGGCGGGUUCCUGGACAUUAACUGACGCUGAGGCACGAAGGCCAGGGGAGCGAAAGGGAUUAGAUACCCUUGUAGUC